rnacentral:rRNA from 1 species
UUAAUAUCCCAUAAUAUUUUUUUAUAGCAUUAUAGAAAGAUUAAAGCUACGGCGGUUGAAGAUGGGCAUGCGUGACAUUAGCUUGUUGGUAAGGUAACGGCUUACCAAGGCUACGAUGUCUAGGGGGUACGAGAGGAUGAUCCCCCACACUGGUACUGAACACGGACCAGACUCCUACGGGAGGCAGCAGUGAGGAAUAUUGGGCAAUGGACGCAAGUCUGACCCAGCCAUGCCGCGUGCAGGAUGAAUGCCCUAUGGGUUGUAAACUGCUUUUCUGCAGGAAGAAAUGUCCCGACGUGUCGGGAUUUGACGGUACUGCAGGAAUAAGCAUCGGCUAACUCCGUGCCAGCAGCCGCGGUAAUACGGAGGAUGCAAGCGUUAUCCGGAUUUAUUGGGUUUAAAGGGUGCGUAGGCGGGAGAUUAAGUCAGUGGUGAAAUCCUGCAGCUUAACUGUAGAAUUGCCAUUGAUACUGGUUUCCUUGAGUGUAGUUGAAGUGGGCGGAAUGUGUAUUGUAGCGGUGAAAUGCUUAGAUAUUACACAGAACACCUAUUGCGAAGGCAGCUCACUAAACUAAUACUGACGCUGAGGCACGAAAGCGUGGGGAGCAAACAGGAUUAGAUACCCUGGUAGUCCACGCCGUAAACGUUGAUUACUCGAUGUGUGCGAUACACUGUACGCGUCUGAGCGAAAGCAUUAAGUAAUUCACCUGGGGAGUACGAUCGCAAGAUUGAAACUCAAAGGAAUUGACGGGGGCCCGCACAAGCGGAGGAACAUGUGGUUUAAUUCGAUGAUACGCGAGGAACCUUACCUGGGCUUAAAUGUAGACUGAUUUCCAGCGAAAGGUGGUUUCCCUUCGGGGCAGACUGCAAGGUGCUGCAUGGUUGUCGUCAGCUCGUGCCGUGAGGUGUCGGGUUAAGUCCCAUAACGAGCGCAACCCCUAUCGUUAGUUGCCAGCGAGUAAUGUCGGGGACUCUAGCGAGACUGCCGGGUAAACCGUGAGGAAGGUGGGGAUGACGUCAAAUCAGCACGGCCCUUAUGUCCAGGGCUACACACGUGUUACAAUGGCCAGUACAGAGGGCAGCUACCUGGUACAGGUUGCAAAUCUCGAAACUGGUCUAGUUCGGAUCGGAGUCUGCAACUCGACUUC